rnacentral:tRNA from 1 species
GCCUCGGUAGCGCAGUAGGUAGCGCGUCAGUCUCAUAAUCUGAAGGUCGUGAGUUCGAUCCUCACCCUGGGCA